UGGGGGAUAUUGCACAAUGGAGGAAACUCUGAUGCAGCGACGCCGCGUGAGGGAAGAAGGUCUUCGGAUUGUAAACCUCUGUCUUUGGGGACGAAGAAAGUGACGGUACCCAAAGAGGAAGCCACGGCUAACUACGUGCCAGCAGCCGCGGUAAUACGUAGGUGGCGAGCGUUGUCCGGCAUUACUGGGUGUAAAGGGUGCGUAGGCGGACUGGCAAGUUGGAUGUGAAAUCUCCGCGCUUAACGUGGAGGUUGCAUUCAAAACUGUUGGGCUUGAGUGAGGCAGAGGCAGGGGGAAUGCCGGGUGUAGCGGUGAAAUGCGUAGAGAUCGGGAGGAACACCAGUGGCGAAGGCGGCCUGCUGGGCCUUAACUGACGCUGAGGCACGAAAGCAUGGGUAGCAAACA
rnacentral:rRNA from 1 species